AUCGAACGCUGGCGGCAUGCCUAACACAUGCAAGUCGAACGAGAUCUUCGGGUCUAGUGGCGCACGGGUGCGUAACGCGUGGGAAUCUGCCCUUUGGUUCGGAGUAACAGUUGGAAACGACUGCUAAUACCGGAUGAUGACGAAAGUCCAAAGAUUUAUCGCCAGAGGAUGAGCCCGCGUAGGAUUAGCUAGUUGGUGUGGUAAAGGCGCACCAAGGCGACGAUCCUUAGCUGGUCUGAGAGGAUGAUCAGCCACACUGGGACUGAGACACGGCCCAGACUCCUACGGGAGGCAGCAGUGGGGAAUAUUGGACAAUGGGCGAAAGCCUGAUCCAGCAAUGCCGCGUGAGUGAUGAAGGCCUUAGGGUUGUAAAGCUCUUUUACCCGGGAUGAUAAUGACAGUACCGGGAGAAUAAGCUCCGGCUAACUCCGUGCCAGCCGCCGCAGUAA
rnacentral:rRNA from 1 species